rnacentral:rRNA from 1 species
UAAGUCUGUAGUGAAAGCGUGGGGCUCAACCUCAUAUACAUUAUGGAAACUGCAAAGCUAGAGGGCGAGAGAGGUUACUAGAAUUCCUUGUGUAGGAGUGAAAUCCGUAGAUAUAAGGAGGAAUACCGAUGGCGUAGGCAGGUAACUGGCUCGUCCCUGACACUAAGGCACGAAAGCGUGGGUAGCAAACGGGAUUAGAUACCCCGGUAGUCCACGCCGUAAACGAUGGAUGCUA